AUGGAGAGUUCUAAGGGAAAAAAAAAGGCUCUAGUGGUACUUGCUUCAUCAAAGAUGUCUGCUAGUACAAUUGAGUCUCACAGAGAAUGCUCAAGGACUUAUAGGUUUGCAUCCUUCUACAGGGGAUGCCCUCUGAAGGACACCAGAACCAGUCUUCUCUCUCUUUCCAUUACCCUCAUACAGGACUAGGAAGAAAGCCAUGCCUGUGAACCUCUGGAAGAUGUGAGGCUCCUCUUCAAAAAGCAAGACCAAUACUGUUCUGGGUACAGAUAAGUAAGUGGGCACCCAUAUUGAGUCUCCUGUUUUUAAUUACAUCCAUAAUGUGAGUAAUCUUGCUAAGGCUAGGGCUCUGAGGCACUUGGUAAUUCAUCUAAAAUCUCUCUUUGCUAUACUUUCUCUUCCACAGGAAGCAUGGAAAUCUGACCUGUUUCUUCUUAUAUUUGGGCUGUACAUCCCCAACUUAAUAGUAAAGUUACUUUCUUUCUCACAUUAAAACAGACAUCUUAACAGUAACUACCCCUUUUCUUAUUUCUUCAACCCAGCAAGUGAGCCACAACACCCCAAGGUAGUUGCUGAGCAAAUAAUCCCCAGUAGGUAUGGCCUUUAGCCCCUCCCAGCAGGAAGUAGCUAUAUUAAGACGGAUAACUGCACUCUCUCAGCACCCCAUGAAGAAUUAAGGGAUAAGUAUUACUCAGGGAAAUGACUCAUAAGAUUAGGG
rnacentral:lncRNA from 1 species